GUUAGUUCAGUUGAGAAAGCAUAUCUGAGACCUAAAGGGGCUGCCCCCAAUUCCCAAAGAGAGCCAAAAACAAAGCUCAAGAAGAAAGAAAAGAAAAGGAGGAAACUAAAGGAAUUGGAACAUACUGUAUCAGGAUGAGGGGCUAUAUGCUAGAUAGCUUCUUGUAGGCAGUAAGGAGGAAAAGACAAGGACCCAAAAGGAACUAUUUGAUGAACAGAGGCUUCAACUACUAAUGAUGAUGAUAAUGUUGGUGUGUGUCUCUCUCAAUAUCUAUGGUUUUUCUAUUUUUG
rnacentral:lncRNA from 1 species